GGGUGGGGGAGGAGGGGUAAGGAAGGGGAUGAGGGGAUAAAAAAGAUGGAGAAAGUGAGCAAAGACUGGAAGAAGCAAAGCGAAGAAAGUAGGAGGAAAGAAAAAUCAGAUGAGCAGGGAUAGUGAGUAAGGGACAGGAAGGAUUUAGUAUGAGAAGACAAAAGAUACAGAAGGAAGAGAAAGCAUGAGCAGGGAAGGAGGAAGGGAGGUUGGAACGAUAGCAAGCGUACUGUAGAUGAAAGCUUUGGGAGGAACGUAACACUGAGAAGCAUCAGCGCUGUCAGAGCAUGUUCAGCCUGCAGGAAAGCCGGGGGGUCAGCUGUCAGAUACCAGUUUAAGAACACAAGGUUUCCACUUGAAGUCAGCUGAGAGAGUUUGGGAACUAAAUGAAGGGACCCCAAGGAUUAAUUAAACCCGGAGUGACCAGCUGGUGGACAAAGAGGACACCGAGGAGAUUCUGAUGUUGUGCUUAUGGUUCAUCCCAUUUUGAACUCAUAUGGAAUACGGUUAAAUCAAGGAGUGUGGGACCUGUUUCACAUCAGAUCAUCAGCCUUUAAAAUGUGAAAGCAGAGCUGCUGUAUGAAAACUGCCCCCUAGUGGAGGGACUGAGAAUGAAAUGCAAAGUUAUCCCAGUAUUUGUUGAUGUUCCCACCCCAGCUACUACUGCAGUUAUAUGUAUAAAAUUAAUCCUAGAAAAAACUAUGCUGCAGAGGGAAUCUGGCUUCUAAUGUUACAGAUCUUUGGUGUCAGAAACACAGCGAAACACAUGGUUCUGCAGGUUUCUUCUCUGAAUUAUGAAGAUAAGCUCUCUUCAUGCUGCCAUUGCACCGUCUCACAGCAACGUGGUGA